GCCAUUGUGGUGUAGUGGUUUGAGUGUUGGACUAUGACUCUGGAGACCAGGGUUCAAAACACUACUUAGCCA